GUCAUUGUUUGCUGACCUGACAACACAAAGACAAAGAAAGUGAAGCAAGAAGCCGCAAGAAACAUGUCUUCGUUGUGCUGGUCUUUGCUGGUCUGUGUCCUGCUGGUCGCUGGUCAAGCUGCAGCCAAGAGGACUGAUGCCAAGAUAAAGAGAGCAUCCGAUUGUGGCGAUGGUCAUUAUGCGUGCUCUAACGGGCAGUGCAUCCAGGAGGAGUGGUUGUGUGACACGGAGGAUGACUGCGGUAACAACGAGGAUGAAGUUGGCUGCCCAACCGACUGCUCAGGAGAACAUCAGGUGAAGUGUACCAACGGUCGAUGUGUUCCCUAGAGUACAGAUGUGACGGCGACAACGACUGUGGCGAUGGAACUGAUGAACAAAGAUGCGACACAUGGAAUGCUCGUCAUAUGAAAUCAAGUGUCCCAACAACAUCAUAUGUGUCGACUUAGAAUAUUUUUGUGAUGGAGACAGUGAUUGCCCGGAUGGCUCGGACGAGCUUCCUGCCAACUGUCCAGUGAGCACCACGAUGAGCGGAUAGAGGAUGUGAUGAGUAAAUAACACAAUACUGGCAAAACAAUACUGGGUCGCAAACUCUACACUCUAGAAAUGAUCUUAUCUCAGGCUUCUUGUGUGUAUCAUACUUUUUGUUAGCUGCUCCACAAAUAAAAUCAUGAGAAAACUGUU